rnacentral:rRNA from 1 species
UACGGGGGGGGCAAGCGUUGUUCGGAAUUACUGGGCGUAAAGGGCUCGUAGGCGGCCAACUAAGUCAGACGUGAAAUCCCUCGGCUUAACCGGGGAACUGCAUCUGAUACUGGAUGGCUUGAGUUCGGGAGAGGGAUGCGGAAUUCCAGGUGUAGCGGUGAAAUGCGUAGAGAUCGGGAGGAACACCAGUGGCGAAGGCGGCUACCUGGACCAGCACUGACACUGAGGCACGAAAGCGUGGGGAGCAAACAGG